rnacentral:tRNA from 2 species
UGCGGGGUAGUGUACGGCUGCACGUGAGGCUCAUAAUCUCACAGGCCGGGUUCAACUCCCGGCCCCGCAACAA